rnacentral:rRNA from 1 species
GACGAACGCUGGCGGCGUGCCUAAUACAUGCAAGUCGAACGCACUCUCGUUUAGAUUGCAGGAGUUUGCUCCUGAUUGAUAAACAUUUGAGUGAGUGGCGGACGGGUGAGUAACACGUGGGUAACCUGCCCUAAAGUGGGGGAUAACAUUUGGAAACAGAUGCUAAUACCGCAUAAAACCUAACACCGCAUGGUGUAGGGUUGAAAGAUGGUUUCGGCUAUCACUUUAGGAUGGCCCCACGGUGCAUUAGUUAGUUGGUGAGGUAAAGGCUCACCAAGCCGGUGAUCCAUAGCCGACCUGAGAGGGUGAUCGGCCACACUGGAACUGAGACACGGCCCAGACUCCUACGGGAGGCAGCAGUAGGGAAUCUUCCACAAUGGACGAAAGUCUGAUGGAGCAACGCCGCGUGAGUGAAGAAGGUUUUCGGAUCGUAAAACUCUGUUGUUGGAGAAGAAUGUAUCUGAUAGUAACUGAUCAGGUAGUGACGGUAUCCAACCAGAAAGCCACGGCUAACUACGUG